rnacentral:rRNA from 1 species
UACGGAGGGUGCAAGCAUUAAUCGGAUUUAUUGGGCGUAAAGGGCGCGUAGGCGGGGAUGUAAGUCAGAUGUGAAAUCCCGGGGCUCAACCUUGGAACAGCAUUUGGUACUGCAUCUCUGGAGGGUAGGCGGAGAAAAUGGAAUUCCACAAGUAGCGGUGAAAUGCGUAGAUAUGUGGAAGAACACCAGUGGCGAAGGCGGUUUUCCAGCUUAUACCUGACGCUGAGGCGCGAAAGCAAGGGGAUCAAACAGG